rnacentral:rRNA from 1 species
GGACGGGCUGCCUUGGUAUUAGACCCAAUAAUUGACGGAUACCACUUCACACGAGUCCUGAUGGACGGUGGAAGCAGUCUAAACCUGAUAUAUCAGGACACAAUCCGCAAAAUGGGGAUAAACCCAACAAAAAUUUGCCUCAGCAAUACUACCGUUAAAGGAGUAACACCAGGCCUAGGGGCUCAUUGCACGGGCUCCCUGCUACUAGAAGUUAUAUUCGACUUCCCCGAUAACUUCCGUAGCGAAAAUUUAACCUUCCACAUUGCUCCAUUCCAAAGUGGCUAUCAAGCACUACUUGGACGCGAAGCUUUCGCUUGCUUUAAUGCAAUACCGCAUUACACUUCCCUUAUGCUUAAG